AUUGAACGCUGGCGGCAGGCCUAACACAUGCAAGUCGAACGAGUGGCGGACGGGUGAGUAAUGUCUGGGAAACUGCCUGAUGGAGGGGGAUAACUACUGGAAACGGUAGCUAAUACCGCAUACCAUCGGAUGUGCCCAGAUGGGAUUAGCUAGUAGGUGGGGUAAAGGCUCACCUAGGCGACGAUCCCUAGCUGGUCUGAGCGGAUGACCAGCCACACUGGAACUGAGACACGGUCCAUACUCUUACGGGAGGCAGUAGUGGGAAAUAUGUCACAAUGGGCGCAAGCCUGAUGCAGCCAGGCCGCGGGUAUGAAGAAGGCCUUCGGGUUGUAAAGUACUUUCAGCGGUGAGGCGUUACCCGCAGAAGAAGCACCGGCUAACUCCGUGCCAGCCGCCGCGGUAAUUC
rnacentral:rRNA from 1 species